rnacentral:rRNA from 1 species
UACAGAGGUGUCAAGCGUUGUUCGGAAUUACUGGGCGUAAAGGGCGCGUAGGCGGCCUUGUAAGUCCUGUGUGAAAUCCCCCGGCUCAACUGGGGAACUGCACAGGAGACUGCUUGGCUUGAGUUCGGGAGAGGGAAGCGGAAUUCCGGGUGUAGCGGUGAAAUGCGUAGAUAUCCGGAGGAACACCGGUGGCGAAGGCGGCUUCCUGGACCGACACUGACGCUGAGGCGCGAAAGCCAGGGGAGCAAACGGG